rnacentral:RNase_P_RNA from 1 species
AGUAAGUCAGACAGUCGCGGCGGCGCGAAAGUGCCGACGAGGAAAGUCCGGGCUUCACAGGGCAGGGUGCCGGGCAACUCCCGGUAAAGGCGACUUUAAGGAUAGUGCAACAGAAAUAGACUACCGUUAGCGGUACAGGUGGAAAGGCGAGGUAAAAGCUCACCGGCGGGCAGGAGACUGCCCGGCCGUGUAAACCCCACCCGAAGCAACACCGACAGGGAUGGCGGCCCGUCAUAUAAUCCCGAAGGGUGGCUUGAGCGGUAUAGUAAUAUACCGCCUAGAAAGAUGGCUGUUUGAUACAGAACCCGGCUUACAGACUUGCUCAU